CCUACGGGGCGCAGCAGUGGGGAAUAUUGGACAAUGGGGGGAACCCUGAUCCAGCGACGCCGCGUGAGUGAAGAAGUAUUUCGGUAUGUAAAGCUCUAUCAGCAGGGAAGAAAGAAAUGACGGUACCUGACUAAGAAGCCCCGGCUAACUACGUGCCAGCAGCCGCGGUAAUACGUAGGGGGCAAGCGUUAUCCGGAUUUACUGGGUGUAAAGGGAGCGUAGACGGCGAUGCAAGUCUGAAGUGAAAGGCGGGGGCCCAACCCCUGGACUGCUUUGGAAACUGUAUGGCUGGAGUGCAGGAGAGGUAAGUGGAAUUCCUAGUGUAGCGGUGAAAUGCGUAGAGAUUAGGAGGAACACCAGUGGCGAAGGCGGCUUACUGGACUGUAACUGACGUUGAGGCUCGAAAGCGUGGGGAGCAAACAGGAUUAGAUACCCGGGUAGUC
rnacentral:rRNA from 1 species